rnacentral:rRNA from 1 species
AGUGAAAAAGAACCUGAAACCGUGUACGUACAAGCAGUGGGAGCCUCUUAAUGGGGUGACUGCGUACCUUUUGUAUAAUGGGUCAGCGACUUAUAUUCUGUAGCAAGGUUAACCGAAUAGGGGAGCCGAAGGGAAACCGAGUCUUAACUGGGCGUUAAGUUGCAGGGUAUAGACCCGAAACCCGGUGAUCUAGCCAUGGGCAGGUUGAAGGUUGGGUAACACUAACUGGAGGACCGAACCGACUAAUGUUGAAAAAUUAGCGGAUGACUUGUGGCUGGGGGUGAAAGGCCAAUCAAACCGGGAGAUAGCUGGUUCUCCCCGAAAGCUAUUUAGGUAGCGCCUCGUGAAUUCAUCUCCGGGGGUAGAGCACUGUUUCGGCAAGGGGGUCAUCCCGACUUACCAACCCGAUGCAAACUGCGAAUACCGGAGAAUGUUAUCACGGGAGACACACGGCGGGUGCUAACGUCCGUCGUGAAGAGGGAAACAACCCAGACCGCCAGCUAAGGUCCCAAAGUCAUGGUUAAGUGGGAAACGAUGUGGGAAGGCCCAGACAGCCAGGAUGUUGGCUUAGAAGCAGCCAUCAUUUAAAGAAAGCGUAAUAGCUCACUGGUCGAGUCGGCCUGCGCGGAAGAUGUAACGGGGCUAAACCAUGCACCGAAGCUGCGGCAGCGACACUAUGUGUUGUUGGGUAGGGGAGCGUUCUGUAAGCCUGUGAAGGUGGCCUGUGAGGGUUGCUGGAGGUAUCAGAAGUGCGAAUGCUGACAUAAGUAACGAUAAAGCGGGUGAAAAGCCCGCUCGCCGGAAGACCAAGGGUUCCUGUCCAACGUUAAUCGGGGCAGGGUGAGUCGACCCCUAAGGCGAGGCCGAAAGGCGUAGUCGAUGGGAAACAGGUUAAUAUUCCUGUACUUGGUGUUACUGCGAAGGGGGGACGGAGAAGGCUAUGUUGGCCGGGCGACGGUUGUCCCGGUUUAAGCGUGUAGGCUGGUUUUCCAGGCAAAUCCGGAAAACCAAGGCUGAGGCGUGAUGA